ACUCCUACGGGAGGCAGCAGUAGGGAAUCUUCCACAAUGGACGAAAGUCUGAUGGAGCAACGCCGCGUGAGUGAAGAAGGGUUUCGGCUCGUAAAACUCUGUUGUUAAAGAAGAACAUAUCUGAGAGUAACUGUUCAGGUAUUGACGGUAUUUAACCAGAAAGCCACGGCUAACUACGUGCCAGCAGCCGCGGUAAUACGUAGGUGGCAAGCGUUGUCCGGAUUUAUUGGGGCGUAAAGCGAGCGCAGGCGGUUUUUAAGUCUGAUGUGAAAGCCUUCGGCUCAACCGAAGAAGUGCAUCGGAAACUGGGAAACUUGAGUGCAGAAGAGGACAGUGGAACUCCAUGUGUAGCGGUGAAAUGCGUAGAUGUAUGGAAGAACACCAGUGGCGAAGGCGGCUGUCUGGUCUGUAACUGACGCUGAGGCUCGAAAGUAUGGGUAGCAAACAGGAUUAGAUACCCUGGUAGGAUAGCG
rnacentral:rRNA from 1 species